GAACAGAGGUACUGGCCACGGAUCCAUUGCAGAGGAGCCAGCUUAUACUCCCACGGUGCUAGGAAGGAGGCGGGACAGAUGAAAACAUCGAGGCUUAGAGGGGUUUCUGAGUAGCUGAGAAGUCAGGACUUCACACUCCCGAUCUUUCCCCUGGCCUCCAGUUUGCCUGGCAAAGUCACAGGAAGUAUCUCCAUGGCACCGCAUCAGCCCUCACAGAGCAGGAAACCUUGAUUUCUACAGAGGCUGUUUCCUCCCAGCCUUGUGCAAGGCCCACUGCAGAGACAAAAUUAUGGUGGCCAAAGUGUGAAUGCCAAGGCCACACUGGCCUCCAUCCCUGGGAUUUGCUGGUAGAAGAAAGGGAAUCAGCGCUGACUGAGCUCCUACUAUGUGCCCUUCCUGGGCCUGGCACUGGAAUCACAGGAUGAAUGAAUAAGGCAUAUUUCCUGCCCUGAGGAGGCGUCUAUAGGGGAAGUCGGAAUUAAGGCACCUCCAGAAUUCUGAGGUCAAGGGAAUGUCAACAGAGCUGUGAACAAAAUGCCCAAAGCCAUGAAAAUCUACAGAGAGAGACUCGAAGGGGAGGAAUGGGGCCAGGCUGAGGUCGGGAUGGUGGAGGAGGUGGUGGAGGUGAUGAGGUACCAGAGCAACCUCGAAGAAAGCUGAGAGGCAGGAGACCGCCAAAGGCAAACUUGGAACACCUGGUGACUCCGACUAACUCUCCAUGUGGUGUCCUUGAGGACUUUUAUGAUACUGCUACCACUGCUAAUAGUAAUAAAAGCCACUAUUUAAUGUGUUUACUAUGCGCUGGGUGUGCAAAUAUUGUGGAAAGAGUGAACAUAUGUGCAGAAUGCUUAAUAAACGUGAUCUCCUUUUAUCUUCAAAAGAACAAUACAGGCCAGGUGCGGUGGCUCAUGCCUAUAAUUCCAGCACUUUGGGAGGCCGAGGCAGAUGGAUUGCUUGAGCUCAAGAAGUUUCAGACCAGCCUGGGCAACAUGGCAAAACCCCAUCUCUACAAAAAAAUACCCAAAAAAUUAGCCAGGUGUGAUGUUGCCUGCCUGUGGUCCCAGCUACUCCAGAGGUUGAGGUGGGAGAAUCGCGUGAGCCCAGAAGGUCAAGGCUGCAGUGAGCUGUGAUCCUGCCACUGCACUCCAGCCUGGGGUGACAGAGUGAGACCCUGCCUAAAAAAAAAAGAAUCAAUACGAUUAAUACUUUUACUUCUAUUUUUCAGACAAGGAAAUUGAGGCUCAGAGAGGUUAGGAACUUGCCAGAAGACCUACCAGCAAGUGGCAGAGCUAAGGUCCCAUCUGACCCCAAAGCCCACCCAUAACCGCUAUGCAGUACUGUCCAGGCAGAAACACAAACAUUACCCCAUUGUUUUUAUUCUUCAACACCUUUGGUAUCAUCCAGUCCCAGGACACUGGCUCCUGAGGAAGGAAGGCCCCUCCCACAUCCUUUAAAAUUCCCAGGCAUAAAACCAUGUUCACCAGCCACCGUGAGGGUAAGCCUCAGAGACAGGGACCGUGCCCAC
rnacentral:lncRNA from 1 species